rnacentral:rRNA from 1 species
UACGGAGGGUGCAAGCGUUGUCCGGAUUUAUUGGGUUUAAAGGGUGCGUAGGCGGCUUAGUAAGUCCGUGGUGAAAGCCAACAGCUCAACUGUUGAACUGCCAUGGAUACUGCUAGGCUUGAGUACAGACGAGGUAGGCGGAAUGGAUAGUGUAGCGGUGAAAUGCAUAGAUACUAUCCAGAACACCGAUUGCGUAGGCAGCUUACUAGGCUGUAACUGACGCUGAGGCACGAAAGCGUGGGGAGCGAACAGG